rnacentral:lncRNA from 1 species
UCGGGAUCCCUGGCCUCUUGGCGGACACAGACCGACGCUGGAGGCCCUGCCGAGGAUGGAGGGAUCACCACGAUGUUGCCCGGCACGUAGUCGUCGUCACCCCGCUGAUGCUGAUGCUGCGCGGCGGAUGUGGAGGCGGAGGCGAAGGGCUCGAGCUUGGGGCGCUUGGCGGCACGGGCGGGCGCCAUGGACGGCGGCGACGGUCGGGGGAAUGGGUUGGUAGGGCUUUGGGGUUUGGGGCUGUUCGGCGGGACGGGACGGGGUGGGGAAUUUGGAGGAAGAAAAAU